rnacentral:lncRNA from 1 species
CCGAGAUUUAAAAUUGUCUAGAAGUUCUUUAGAAUUUUUUAAGAAUCCACAUAUGGUUAAUACCACUACGCGAGUAAACAGUUUCACAGUAUUUCUGAAGACCCUCUUUCACUGCGGACAGAAUUUUAGUCAAUCUAAUGGACAAUUCUUUAGUAGAACAUGAAGAUGAGCCAGCAAUAUACCGUUGUUUGUACGGAAUUUUAUG